GAGUGAAGCGGCAACAGCUCAAAUUUGAAAUCUGGCUCUGAGUUGUAAUUUGUAGAGGAUGCUUUUGAUGCGGUCCUUCCGAGUUCCCUGGAACGGGACGCCAUAGAGGGUGAGAGCCCCGUCUGGUUGGAUGCCAAAUCUCUGUAGCUCCUUCGACGAGUCGAGUAGUUUGGGAAUGCUGCUCUAAAUGGGAGGUAUAUGUCUUCUAAAGCUAAAUACCGGCCAGAGACCGAUAGCGCACAAGUAGAGUGAUCGAAAGAUGAAAAGCACUUUGAAAAGAGAGUUAAAAAGUACGUGAAAUUGUUGAAAGGGAAGCGUUUAUGACCAGACUUGGGCUUGGUAUCAUCUGGGGUUCUCCCCAGUGCACUUUCCAGCCAGGCCAGCAUCAGUUUUCGCCGGGGGAUAAGGCUUCGGGAAUGUGGCUCUGGGAGUGUUAUAGCCCGUUGCAUACCCUGGCGGGGACUGAGGUUCGCGCAUCUGCAAGGAUGCUGGCGUAAUGGUCAUCAACGACCCGUCUUGAAACACGGACCAAGGAGUCGUCUUCGUAUGCGAGUGUUCGGGUGUCAAACCCCUACGCGUAAUGAAAGUGAACGCAGGUGAGAGCGGCGCAUCAUCGACCGAUCCUGAUGUUCUCGGAUGGAUUUGAGUAAGAGCAUACGGGGCCGGACCCGAAAGAAGGUGAACUAUGCCUGUGUAGGGUGAAGCCAGAGGAAACUCUGGUGGAUGCUCGCAGCGGUUCUGACGUGCAAAUCGAUCGUCCAACACGGGGAGGGGGGGGAAAG
rnacentral:rRNA from 1 species